rnacentral:lncRNA from 1 species
GCCAACACAUGCUCAGCUGUGCCAAAGAUGAGAGGAGCAGGGCAUGUGCCUCGGGCAGCUCUGGUAGUUUCAUUAAGAUUCCUGUUUGCUGGGUAUGUCGUGGGGAAGCUGAUCAUGGUGUUCCCACCACCACGGCUAGCUGGGAAAGCCUUGUCUCACCUACCUCCAUCUCCUGCUUCCUGGGCACCUGCUUGCGGGAGAGAGAGAGAGCAAUUCAGCACACUGGGGCCAGACACUGCCGCUACAUGUGGUGGAACCAAGUGACAGAGGGGGAGUAAGCGGAGGCUGGAAUUUCUCCCUCUGUUGGCUCUCCCUGACCACCUGCCUGCUUAGCCUCUCCUCUUCCCCCAGUGAAAGUGCUGCAGCAAUCUCGGCCUUUGGCACUCUCCUCAGGAAUUUAUGAAGCUUGUGAUGUGAAUGAUGGAGCCAGCUAAGCCUCCUCUGCACUGACAGCUCAGCACAAUGACCUGUUGGGUGAUGAAAGAAAUGCCAGGUGCUUCAGUUUUCUGUUCCACCGAGUGGAUGUGUCCCCCGCCUCUGUCUCUCAGCUUCUGGAGGAAUUGAAGCCUGUGACAUGUUUCGUUCCCAGAUGCUUCUUGCAGCCUCUACCCGACACUGCUUAUGGAAGCUGAGGCUCAGAGAGGGCUCUGGAAUAUUUCAGCCGCUUACAUGUAGCCAUUUUGGUGUGGUUGUGUCAAAAUGACUUUGCCCAGAUGCAAAACCACUGGUAACUUAAACUUCUUUUUUAAGUAGUAUCUCCCAGGGAUCUCUGUAAGCCAUGUCACCCCCACCUGGUCUCUCCCUUUCCUCUUCCUCAACCCUGCCCUGACCCUGACUUACCCAACCCCUGCUUGAUCUUCAUGUGAUGAUGAGGCAGGUGUGGGGAAGAAGAAAGUAUUUGCAUAUUACUUGGUAAUUUUUCAGGAGGUAAAUGUUGGAUGCAUGUGCCUGCUGUUGUUUUGGUUUUAGG